AUCUUUGUCUUUAAUGAAUAAUGCUUGAAAUGAUCAAAUAAAAUAUUAUAAAAUUAAAAAAAAAUAAAAUUAAAAAAAAGAAUGUACUGUAGUCAAAUGUAAGGUUUAUAGAAGGGAUCUGGGGUACUUUAAGAUUUUGCCAUGGAACCCUAAUGAGGUCAGAGAUAGAGAAUUUUGGAUUGUGUCUUAAAAGCAUCAGUUGAGAAACAGUCACCCGCUUCUGGGACAGAGGCUUGGAGUCCCAUUGUCCUUUGAUUCUCAAGACCAGGCUUGAAGAAAAUAUGAUCCCCAAAUACAGAACUCAAGAGAAUCACCAAAAGGUCUUUCUCUGGAUGUGGAUAAGUGUUCUUUCUCACAAAUCCCUUGGGAUUUUCCUGGAUCAUUGCAUUGCUUUUUCUUCAGCCAGGAAGAAAAUGUUAGCCUACAGUAUAGACACAAGUGAGAAGUGAAAGAACCAACAAGGAGACAGAGAAAACAGCUUUCAAGAAAAGAAACUUAAAAGGUAGGCAGAGAACAUCUGGGGCACUUGGGUGAUAU
rnacentral:lncRNA from 1 species